UUUCACAGAGAUAAAGGAAAUUCCAUGAGAAAGCUGUUCUUGGCCAGAGGCCAAGCUCCAGAAAGGAGAGGGACAGGUGAAAGAGUUAAAAAAGGGCUGGCUUGCUGUGAGCUGCUUGUAUUUAUUGACAUUGUGAUGCAAAGGUAUGUAAUACAUAUUAAUGAAGACACAGUGGAUUGCCAUUGGUUCAGGUGUACAUUACAACAAGGCAGAGGUGUGGAUUGUCUCAGCCAGGUGAGGACAAAGAAACCUGAGUUUGUGCCUAAACCUUAGGAAUGUUGGGAUCAAAGGUGUGGACUGUAACAAUGUGAAUUUUAUCACAGGAAAUGGAUGCUUCCCCAGGCAGAAACAAAAGUUUCUCUUAAAGAAAACCUUCAUAAAAUCUAGAAGACUAUGCAGCAGCUCUGAAUAAAGCGGUAAUAGACAAGUUA